rnacentral:hammerhead_ribozyme from 1 species
AGUAGCUGACGAGUCCCAAAUAGAACGAAAUGCGCAUCCUGCAU